AACGAACGCUGGCGGCAUGCCUAACACAUGCAAGUCGAACGAGACCUUCGGGUCUAGUGGCGCACGGGUGCGUAACGCGUGGGAACCUGCCCUUAGGUUCGGAAUAACUCCCCGAAAGGGGUGCUAAUACCGGAUAAUUUCUUCGGACCAAAGAUUUAUCGCCUUUGGAUGGGCCCGCGUUGGAUUAGCUAGUUGGUAGGGUAAAAGCCUACCAAGGCGACGAUCCAUAGCUGGUCUGAGAGGAUGAUCAGCCACACUGGGACUGAGACACGGCCCAGACUCCUACGGGAGGCAGCAGUGGGGAAUAUUGGACAAUGGGCGAAAGCCUGAUCCAGCAAUGCCGCGUGAGUGAUGAAGGCCUUAGGGUCGUAAAGCUCUUUUACCCGGGAUGAUAAUGACAGUACCGGGAGAAUAAGCUCCGGCUAACUCCGUG
rnacentral:rRNA from 1 species